rnacentral:rRNA from 1 species
UAGGGAAUCUUCGACAAUGGCCGGAAUUCUGACCGAGCAACGCCGCGUGAGUGAAGAAGGUUUUCGGAUCGUAAAGCUCUGUUGUUAGAGAAGAACGUUGGUAGGAGUGGAAAAUCUACCAAGUGACGGUAACUAACCAGAAAGGGACGGCUAACUACGUUCCAGCAGCCGCGGUAAUACGUAGGUCCCGAGCGUUGUCCGGAUUUAUUGGGCGUAAAGCGAGCGCAGGCGGUUCUUUAAGUCUGAAGUUAAAGGCAGUGGCUUAACCAUUGUACGCUUUGGAAACUGGAGGAAUUGAGUGGAGAAGGGGGGAGUGGAAUUCCAUGUGUAGCGGUGAAAUGCGUAGAUAUAUGGAGGAACACCGGUGGCGAAAGCGGCUCUCUGGUCUGUAACUGACGCUGAGGCUCGAAAGCGUGGGGAGCAAACAGG